AUGAACGCUGGCGGCGUGCCUAAUACAUGCAAGUCGAGCGAACAGACGAGGAGCUUGCUCCUCUGACGUUAGCGGCGGACGGGUGAGUAACACGUGGAUAACCUACCUAUAAGACUGGGAUAACUUCGGGAAACCGGAGCUAAUACCGGAUAAUAUAUUGAACCGCAUGGUUCAAUAGUGAAAGACGGUUUUGCUGUCACUUAUAGAUGGAUCCGCGCCGCAUUAGCAAGUUGGUAAGGUAACGGCUUACCAAGGCAACGAUGCGUAGCCGACCUGAGAGGGUGAUCGGCCACACUGGAACUGAGACACGGUCCAGACUCCUACGGGAGGCAGCAGUAGGGAAUCUUCCGCAAUGGGCGAAAGCCUGACGGAGCAACGCCGCGUGAGUGAUGAAGGUCUGCGGAUCGUAAAACUCUGUUAUUAGGGAAGAACAAAUGUGUAAGUAACUAUGCACGUCUUGACGGUACCUAAUCAGAAAGCCACGGCUAACUACGU
rnacentral:rRNA from 1 species